CCCUUAGAUGUCCUGGGCUGCACGCGCGCUACACUGAUGUGUCCAGUAAGCACCUAACCUCUUCCGAAAGGAACGGGUAACCUUUGCAAAGCACAUCGUGAUGGGGAUAGAUUAUUGCAAUUAUUAGUCUUGAGCGAGGAAUUCCUAGUAAGCACAAGUCAUCAGCUUGUGUUGAUUACGUCCCUGCCCUUUGUACACACCGCCCGUCGCUCCUACCGAUUGAAUGUUCCGGUGAGCUCUUCGGACUGCGCGGUCUGCAGUUUCUGCGUUCCGUGCGGAAAGUUGCGCAAACCUUAACAUUUAGAGGAAGGGGAAGUCGUAACA
rnacentral:rRNA from 1 species